AGACUCCUACGGGGGGCAGCAGUAGGGAAUCUUCCACAAUGGACGAAAGUCUGAUGGAGCAACGCCGCGUGAGUGAAGAAGGGUUUCGGCUCGUAAAACUCUGUUGGUAGUGAAGAAAGAUAGAGGUAGUAACUGGCCUUUAUUUGACGGUCAUUACUUAGAAAGUCACGGCUAACUACGUGCCAGCAGCCGCGGUAAUACGUAUGUGGCAAGCGUUGUCCGGAUUUAUUGGG
rnacentral:rRNA from 1 species